GAUGCAAAACCCUGAUUAAUAAAUAGAGCAUAAAACAUAAGUUUCAGACCCAAAAUUUGGCAAGAAAUCAUUAAAGCUGUAAUGAAUAUCCAAUAAAUCCAAGCCAAUAGAAAACGGAUUUGAAUCUGACCCAAAGGAAAUGGAAAGAAUCAGAUACAAACCCUAAAAUAGUCAAUAAGCAUACAACCCAUCUUCUUCAAGGAGAGAGGGACCAAACAAUGGGAUAAUCAGAGUUUUUCUUUCUCUCUCUCAAACACUCUCUCUUCUUACUCUGUCUUAACGAGUUGGGUUUGCGAGGGGUGUGCGUAUAAAUAGAGAGCAGUAAGUGCCUGACAGCUGUAAGUGCCGUUACAUAGACAGCUGUAAGUGCCGUUAGACGUAACUAACUACCUUCUUUGAAGAGAGAAUUUCGCCAUUCGUCCCUGUAGUUUAGGAGAAGUCUCACUUUGUCCUUGUGAUUUCAAUUUAAACCAUACGAACCCAAUGAUUUUUAAUCAAUUUCAGUGAAGUCCCUCUAUUCAAAUCUAUUAAAAAAUUUGACGGAGAAUGCCAAAAAAAAAACGAAGACAAAAAAUCCCAUACAAUUUUCCAUUAGUAUUCUUAACAAAUUUGAAUUUGGAAAUCAAUUUGCAACGAAAUGAAAACUAAAGAAUUCUAAUUGUUCAAAUUAGAAUUAUACAGAAUUUAAUGAUAAAACUUUUUUUUUAAGAACAAGCGUUAAAGUUUAGCCUUUAAACUUUAUAACAAAACUAAAAUAUUAUGUACUCACAUAUGAACUUCUUUUACUGGAAAAAAAAAAUCAAGUUGAUCAAAUAAUAUAGCCACAGUCAAUUAUUUUUGUUAAGAAAUUAAGUAUAACUUCUAAUAUAGAACAUUGUCUUUUUUAAACAAACAUUACUUAAAGUAGAUGGUGAUUAAUAAAGUAAGCCUUUUAUCAUAAUUUUCUGUAUUUAUAAUGCGUCCAAUAUAAAACUUGUGAUUGGUAGCAAAACACCGAUUUCCUUUUGAGACCAAAUUCAUGCAAGUAGUGAUAUAAAAUACUAUUGAUUGAAGGAAGAUGGAAAAUGGAAGAUGGAAGAUGCAAGCUUGUGAGGCUAUUGAUGGCAAUACCUGCUCUGGAAAAGAUCUCAAAAGCUUUCAUUUUAUCUGUGUUCUCAAAACCUCAUAGUUUAAUAAAACAUGAAAUGAAAGAAAAUAAUAACCUGUACUUCAUUUGGUAUGACUAAUUUCAACCAAGAACGCAUAGAGAAAUUGAAGAAUGACCCUACAAUAAUUAAAUCAAGAAAAAUAUUAGUCACUAUCUAAUGGAUGGUGAUUAAUGGAUAAAGGUAAUUGAUUUUCGCACUCCACUUUUUUAUUUCUGCACUCCAAAGUAGGAGUGCAGAAAUAAAAAAAAAAGUGUAGAAAUCACUUUCCAUAGAUGAAAUGUAUAUUGAUAAGUAUAAAAAAAUAUAAAUAUAUGUAAAAUCUGAUUAAAACAUAUGAAAAAUAUAUAAAUAUCUGUGCAAAGGGCAAACUAACCACCACCCACUGAGCGGUUAUUAACAUUCUCCAAGUUUUUUUUGUUCCCUAACUUUUCAUUGUUCAUUUAGAAAGUGAUGUGAAUCACUGUCAACCUUGAUUAUGAAUUUACUGAAAAUAUUUUAAAAUAAAUAUUGUUUUUCGGUAAGUUCAGAACUUCAUGCCAAAAUCUAAAAAAAGUUUAAAAUUCACAUUAACGAUCAUCAUCUUUUUUUAAUAGCCUAGUAUCCCCACCCAACUCAAUUGAGUCCGGGAGAAACUCAUCUGGGACCGGAGGUUAAUAACUGAGCAAACUUCCAGUGGUUCAAAGGGAUUCGAACUAGAAACGCCUUGAACCCAUAGUAAUGGCAUCUAAAUAUGUUGAUUUAUGAAUUAAAAGGCAGGAUAUUUGCUACAAAUUAGUUCCUUACUUUAUGAGUCAAUCAUUCAUGUACAUUUUCGCUUCUAAAUUACAUAACUACUAUAACAAAAAACAAGACGAUGGUAUAUUUGCCUUGCAAAACCUAUUUUCUUUCUUUCUGCUUGGCAGUCUCAACAUAUUACUUGCAAGUUUCUUCACCUUCUCCCCUUUCUCGAUGAGGAAAUUUGCAUUUUUCUCUUUGGAAUGGUAUUUCAUAACUUAUUCGGUUGUUUUUCCCACACAUGUAUUGUUCGAGUGCGAUCACUCCACUCUUGCAUAGGUCUGAUGUGCUCUUCAAUGUAAGCUUCAACCUGUAAAAGUUAUGACCAAUACCUCAUGAGAAAUGUGGAAGUUUUGACAACCCAAAAAGCCGAGAAAAAUAAGAACUAAUGACGGGUCACGCUCACACUCAAAUCUUCCCAGUUGGUGCUUAUCACAUUAACCACAAUUUUGAAAAGAAAAGAAAAAAGAAAAAGAUGCCAAAAAUGGAACAAGUCAUCAAGUACCUUUUUAGAUAUAGAACUGGAGCUAUCCGAUUGCUUGUUCGUGUUAGUAUCUGAUUACUUUUACUUUGUUUGCACAUUUUCACUUGUUUGAGAACAGGCUGGUGCAUUUCUCCACAAGAAGCUUGGAGACUAACCCCUGGGACAAUUAAAUUCUCUGAAUAGCUCUCACUCCCUAAUUGGCCUUCAAUGUUUGUCGUGAUCCAGAAUAUUCAGUUUUCUCUGGAACUACAUCAUUAACCAUUGGUUGACAAGGCUUCAUCAACUCACUUUCUGGAAACCUUUUCAUUAAUGGUUCUUCCUUUUCAUUAACGGUUAUUUGUCGGGGCCAUAUAAUUCUUCUCAUUCAGCAACAGAAGGCUCUUCACCUCCUUCAUCAGCUAAGAGGUCUUGAUGAAUGCAAUCCCCCUGUUCCAACUUCAACACUUGAGCUUUUAAUGCUUGCAUCAGUACCACGCUUGCAUGCAUAAAGAAACUUUUGGUACUUCAACAGCAGUUGUUCUCUCUUGAUCCUCAAGGUCAAUAACAUUAUUUGAUCUAUUGGUUUUGACAGCAGAGAAAACAACUUUGAUUUUUGACCCUUCUACUUGUAGCUCAGAUCUCUUUAAAACACUAGCACCAAUGAAGUCUUCAUCUUCCAAAUCAUACUCAAAGUCACCGUACAUAUCAGACGAGAAUCCAUUUCAAAUACAUUAUCAGGUUCAAGCUCUUCUCCUCCAGUCCUUGACCUUGAGAGCUCAUUAUCAUCAUUGGUUUCUUCCAUUUGGUGAAAUGGACUAUUUGGUGGGGAAUCAGACAAAAGGCCUGCAUUUUCAAUGCUUCCUCAACCAUUGGACCAUAAGAAAGAUCAUUGAAUGCUUGUUCUGAUCUGUCAGUAGGGACUGCUGAAAUUGGGGAAGGAUCUGGUUUGGUGGCUUCACUUGACUUGGUGUUGUCUGAUCGGUGUAAUAGCUCCUGGGACAUUAGAUUCACAUAUACUACCUUGCUGUUUGAUCUAUCAGCAACCUCCUUCUCAAUAUUAACUGCAUCUGCAACAGCCAACACUGCGUCUGCAGUUCUCCAAAGUAUGGGCAAAUUUGCUUUGCGCAAGAAGUGUUCAGUGAGACGGUAAAGUUGUGCCUUUACAAUGGAUGCCAGUAAGUAAUUGAUAACCUACUUACAUUACAAAUUUCAGGUCUUGGUAAAACUAAGUUUUGUGAGCAAAAACACGGCAAUCUCCAGGCAAUUAAAUGACAUUGGCUAAGACCUUGGAAAUGGAGUUAGGAGCAUUGUGGUAAAAGAGUGGAUGGUGAUUGUGAUAGAGUAGGUAAGUCAGGAUGCGAAGGAAAGCCAGUUUUGUAGCAUAAGUAACAUUCUAAUUGUCCCAAAGAAUUGAGUAGAAAAGAAAACUUUCGAAUUUGCAAAGCAUUAUUAUUCAGUGAGAUUGCCUAAGUCCAUUCCAACUUUGAGAGUUUGCAUCCAAAUAGAAUAAAAGGAAAACUAAGGACUCAGUUCUGUUUCUACACCUGCAUUCUUCUCAUCCAAAAAGCAUCUUCCUGUUUUUCGUGUGUGGCUUUACUUCCUGUGGAUGUUGUUUUUCUAGCAAGAACCUGUAGGGCCCAUUUCCUCGUCCUUUUUUCUUGUGAUGACAUCCUUCUGGGAAUUUACUUCAGAACCACUUGAAGUGGAAGCAUGCAGCCUUUUCGGCAUUUGUUAGGGUGUACUUUAAUAGAAGAAGUUCCACAUUGUACCAACCUGUGAGGAAGCAGCAUUCAUUUCCAGAGUUCUCUCUGUGGGAUUUGCCAGAGAUGGGGUAAAUGAUUUUUCCAUCAAAGAAUGCCCUUUACUAUCUACAGGACCAGUAGCUUCGAGACCAGAGAGAGGUUUGAUACCUUCCUUUCGAGGGAAAAAAGAUGUAUCUGCCAAAUACUACCUUGAAAGAACGGAAUUUGUGGGCUUCCCUUUAGUUCCUGCUUAAUCUCUGUGCCAUCAGAACUCUUUCUUAAAAGGUUAAGAACUGCCUUCAAAGUCUCAGUUUUUUCAAGCUUACCAGCUUUAAAGAAGCAGUGCUUCCAAAAUUCAAUUUCACAGUCCCAGGUCCAUACCCAUUUUCUUCUUCCACCAAUCCCAUAUAUCUUUUUUGUUAGGUUCUCACAAAUUUUUCCCUUCUGCAGCAGUAACUUCUUAGCCUACACAAUUAGAGUCGGUGACUUUUUAGGUGGUUCAGUAUUAGAUCCAGUCACUGCAGCCCUAAACGCAGCAAGAAGUUUUGGAUCAAAAAGGUUUUCCCCAAACGGUUUGGAGGUUUUGUUACGAACAAUAUCUCUAAUUUCUUUUCUUAGCUUCAGUAGUAAAGUGGAUGAAUCCCUGUCCUCACCGGCUCUUCUCAUGAUCUUUUUCAUUCUCAAACGAUCUGCGGUUCUCUCUCUCGAGGACUUAUCAGUGUGGUUACUGUGUGCAUGGCCAUUGACAGGCCUAUGAUCUGUUCCCUGAACUAUACUCAUUAUAUCAGAAGCAACAUGUUCCUUUUUGGAGUUAUGUUUCUGGACUCAACUGAAACACAUUCACCAGCUUGGUCUUUUGGAUCAAUCACUCGA
rnacentral:lncRNA from 1 species